AUACUUACCUGGACGGGGUCGAUGGGUGAUCAGCAAGACCCAUGUCCUAGGCAAGCGACUUCCAUUGCACUUGGGAAGGGCACUUGCUUAAGGUCUCCUCAAAGUAGGAGAACCUACGUCAUAAUUUGUGGCAGUGGGGUCCUGCGUUCGCGCGGCCCCUUU
rfam:Gossypium arboreum cultivar AKA8401 contig_5214_3, whole genome shotgun sequence.